rnacentral:rRNA from 1 species
CGAACGGACCCGUUUCUUCGGAAGCGGGUCAGUGGCAAACGGGUGAGUAACACGUAGGUGACCUGCCCCAAAGUGGGGGAUAACGACUGGAAACGGUCGCUAAUACCGCAUGUGCUCGGCGAUUCGGUUCGUCGAGUAAAGCCGAAAGGCGCUUUGGGAGGGGCCUGCGGCGGGUUAGGUAGUUGGUAGGGUAACGGCCUACCAAGCCGAUGAUCCGUAGGGGGCGUGAGAGCGCGGCCCCCCACACUGGGACUGAGACACGGCCCAGACACCUACGGGAGGCAGCAGUGAGGAAUAUUGCACAAUGGGCGCAAGCCUGAUGCAGCAACGCCGCGUGGAGGAUGAAGGCCUUCGGGUUGUAAACUCCUUUUCUGGGGGACGAGCAAGGACGGUACCCCAGGAAUAAGUCUCGGCUAACUACGUGCCAGCAGCCGCGGUAAAACGUAGGAGGCGAACGUUAUCCGGAAUUACUGGGCGUAAAGCGCACGCAGGCGGCUUCGUAAGUCCAACGUGAAAGCUCCCGGCUCAACUGGGAGAGGCCGUUGGAUACUGCGAGGCUCGAGGUUAGGAGAGGGAAGUGGAAUUCCCGGUGUAGUGGUGGAAUACGUAGAUAUCGGGAGGAACUCCAGUGGCGAAGGCGACUUCCUGGCCUACACCUGACGCUGAGGUGCG